GCAUCUUGGCCUUCUCGGCCCAGGCGGCGGCGCCGGGGGUGAGCUCGUACAUGGUGUUGGCGAACGCGGUCGCCUUCCAGGUGGCGGUGGGGUCGUAGUACCCGCCGAUGGCGUACACCUUGCCGCCGGCAGAGGCGCAGGUGACGUCGCCGCGGGGGGCGGGAAGCUUCGGCGCGGUCGCCCACGCGGGGGUGGCAGCCUUCGUGUCGAGAACCUCGACGGUGUCCAAAACCUUGACCGGGUCGAUGGAGUUGUAGCCGGCGACGACGUAGAUCUUGCCGUCGACGACGCCCGCGCAGGUGUCGGAGCGACCUUCGGCGAGCUCCGGUCCGUAAGACCACGAGUCGUUGGUGAUGUCGUAGAUGAGCGUCGUCUUGAGCAUGCCGGUCACGGUGUCCGCGGUGAGGCCGCCGAUUAUGUAAAUCUUAUCGCCGACCACCGC
rnacentral:lncRNA from 1 species